AAACUAAGUUCAUUGUUAGAAAUAAAAAUCAAAAUUAUUGAAAACAUAAAAUUUUACUACAAACAACACAUAUAUUAAACUAAAAUUAAUGAAACAAAAAUGUGUAUGAUUUUAUGAGCAUAGGUUUAUAUAAACCUUAGUCCUUAACAUACUUUGUUGCCAACAGUUUGGUAGAGAGACCUUAGCUGUGUGUUCCAUUUAUCAAUGGCAGUGUACUUCUUCAUCCCUUUUGAUCUGUCGCGACACUCUAGCAGUCCGUUCACUUGAUCAAUGUGGCCAUCAAUCCGGUUAUCCAAGAUUAGUGAGACCAACAAGUCCUCAACAUCUUUUUCUGGCACAUUCAGCUCCUUGGAUAUGAAGGGAAUUCGGAUUCUUGUGUAAGGCUUGAUGAGCUUCAGUAAAACCUGGGUUCUGACCUUCCUUAAAAGAUCCUCAAUGUAAUUCCGAAUGAAAGGGUCAUCCAUUAUUGUCCGUCUAUUACUCUUAAUAAUUUUCUCGAACUCUAAGAUCUCAUUUCGUUGAUAUGCUGCGAUAAGGUUUGUCAUGGCCAAGAUCUCAGGGUCAUUUUUGUAAGGUUUAGCUUCUUGGCCAUCAAAAGGGUUAACCUCAGACUCCAUCAGCAUAUUUGCCAGGACCAAGUACUUGAGGCACUGAAUACGCCUAUGAUUCCCAGCUUCAUCAUAGUUCUUGAAAGCUUCAAAGAAGUCUGUAGCUGCCUCUGCCCACUUUCUCUCUGCCAUAUGCAUUUUGCCUCCGCAUUCACGAAUGAUUCCCAUUAUUCUUGGAUGAGGAAUUGCCGACUUGACUGAAAGUGCUUUGUUGUACAGUUCCUUCAGUUUUUUGUUGUUUUUUGUCUCUGUA
rnacentral:misc_RNA from 1 species